rnacentral:misc_RNA from 1 species
GAUGAAGAACGUAGCGAAAUGCGAUAAGUAGUGUGAAUUGCAGAAUUCAGUGAAUCAUCGAAUCUUUGAACGCACAUUGCGCCCUUUGGUAUUCCAAAGGGCAUGCCUGUUCGAGCGUCAUUUGUACCCUCAAGCUUUGCUUGGUGUUGGGCGUCUUGUCUCUAGCUUUGCUGGAGACUCGCCUUAAAGUAAUUGGCAGCCGGCCUACUGGUUUCGGAGCGCAGCACAAGUCGCACUCUCUAUCAGCAAAGGUCUAGCAUCCACUAAGCCUUUUUUUUCAACUUUUGACCUCGGAUCAGGUAGGGAUACCCGCUGAACUUAAGCAUAUCAAUAAGCGGAGGA